GUCCCUGUUUCCUUGUGCAAUGUUUCCUUGUGAUCAAUGAUGUACGAGGACGGAAGUACGAGUUCGACGGAGUGUGUGUGUGUGUGUGUGUGUGUGUGUGUGUGUGUGUGGUCUUCGACCCGAUGUACUGCUCAACAUAAAUAAUUCUCGCUAUAAUACACAAUACAAUAAGUUAUCAAAAUUAUCCAGGUUAGCUAGCAAACUAAAUGCAACAUUUGGUAAAAACAUACGUAACUAAACUAGCUAGUUUAGCUAACAUUAGGUAGUAGCUAGCCAGACAGCUAACAUUAGUUAUACUACGUUUAUUAUAUAAUUAAGAGCAAUAGGCAAGUUUCCUAGCCAGAUAGCUAAUGCUAGUCAUACUGCUUUUAUUUUAUAAUUACGAGCGGUAGCAAAGUUUGCUAGCCACGUAGCCAACAUUAGUUAUACUAUGUUUAUUAUAUCAUUAUGAACAGUAGCCAAGUUUCCUAGCCAGAUAGCUAAUGCUAGCUAUACUAGGUUUAUUAUAUAAUUAAAAGCAGUAGGCAAAUUUGCUAGCCAGCCAGCUAAUGCUAGUUAAACUGUUUUUAUUAUUUAAUUAAAAACAAUAGCCAUGUUUGCUAGCUAGAGCGCUAACAUCUGUUAUACUGUUUAUAUUACGUAGUUAAAAGAAGUAGCUACAUUUGCUAGCAAACUAAUAAAAUAUAAACUGCUGUUGUGAUCAAGUUUGCAAUUGGCUGAGUAACGGUGUAUGACCCCGGGAACCAUGUGAACACUGCAGGCUUUCCCACGCAGCUCUCUCCACCACCGUCUUUCCAGACAGCCUGGAGGCUCUCAGAACCUUCUCUCCAUCCGGACCGAAAAGGAGGUGCGAAUGAAGAAGGGAUAAAUAAACUGAGAUGAUGAGGAAAAAAAGGAAUGCGAAGGGUGAGAAAAAAAGAAAGCGAGAUAUAAAGGAGAGAAGAAAAGAAGACAGAGGAAGCAAGGAGAUGGAAGAAAGCGUGGAAGGAUGAGAGAGAGAGACAGAUGGAAAAGAGGGAGGAUAGAGAACUACUGAGAGAGAGAAAGAGAGAGAGAGAGAGAGAGAGAGAGAGACGAAAUAAUAGGGAAGGAAGAGAGAUGGAGAGAAAGAAGGACGGGAAAAGACAUGAGAGAAAGAUGAGGGGAUAAAGAGAUUGGGGGAGGAAAACGAUAGGGAAAAAAGAGAGGGAGAAGAGAUAGAAGGUAGAGGGGGAAAGAAAGUAAGGGAAAGAAGGCCAAAAAAGAAAAAGUGACCUGGGGGGGGAGAGAGAGAGAGAGAGAGAGAGAGAGAGAGAGAGAGUGAGAGAUUAUAGACUUUAUGAGUUGACAAAGAUCACCUGUGCAGCAUCAUCGAUAAUUCCAAAACACACACACACACACACACACACACACACACACACUGAAAUAAA